CGCUCUGCAGUUGCGCGGAGCCGAGUCACUGGCCAGGCUGCCGGCCUCAGGGCGGAGCUGGAAGGAGUUAGACCGGUGGAGGACGCGUUUCUAUUUUUAACCUGAUUAUCCGCCCUCAGCGUCUCUCCUGAUUUUCUCAGUCCAGCCUGCUUUUCGCCAUCUCAGUUCUCACGCUUUGUCUCGACCCCUUGGCAGACAUUUCCCUUUCCUCCUUACUCCCCCUUCCCCCACCCCUCGAGAACGAGUUAGAAGGAUUCGCCUCAGAAAAUGAACUGCUCUAUAGCCUCUGGGUCUCCUCGCCUCUUUAUGACGCUUCCCCGUCCAGUUCCCUCCCACACCUUUUCGGUUCUAAAGUACAGCUUGAGCGUUGCCUUGUUGCCGUCGGGAAGGAGCAGGGCAGGCGGCGCUGGCUCUCUUGCACGCCCAAGGUCACGGGUGGUUGUGCAAAGUCAGGAAAUGCUUGGCCUCACUGGCUGCCAGUCCUCCGCCCCGCGCGUCGGCGUUGUUGUUCUGAACAAACUGUCUUGGCCAGCCUGUAAAAUCCCUGGAAAUUGGCUAUUCCAGCAAAGCGUCUCGAACUGGGAAAGCACCAAAUGUUCUACUCAAGAAAAGAAGGGCCAAACAAGCUAGACCUGAGGGAGAGAUAAAAAAGAAGGCGUUGCAGGAGGAAAUUCAAGAGGGGGCAAUUCAGAAAUGAGGCACAGGCCCCGACUAGUUUGAAAGGCAUACAAGUCCUUCAGCUCUCCACCCAGCAUACAAGUCCUCUAGAUAGCAUCUUCAGCAUUCAGGUUCUGCGAUGAUACAGCUAAUACUGCAAAAGGAUGUGCUAACAAGUCUCACAACAGUGGUGAGAGACAUGUGUUAUCAUUCUGCUUAUAGAUGAGAAAUUUGUGACUCAGAAAAGUUUAGUAACUCAAUCAAAGUUACAGAGACAACAGAAGCAGAGCCAGGCCUCAAAGCCAGGUCUUCUGAUACCAAAGCCAAGAUUCUUUCUUUUAUACCACAGCUGCCAUCUGGAAC